UUUAAAGAGAGUUUGAUCCUGGCUCAGGACGAACGCUGGCGGCGUGCCUAAUACAUGCAAGUCGAACGAACGGAGGAAGAGCUUGCUCUUCCAAAGUUAGUGGCGGACGGGUGAGUAACACGUGGGCAACCUGCCUGUAAGUUGGGGAUAACUCCGGGAAACCGGGGCUAAUACCGAAUGAUAAAGUGUGGCGCAUGCCACGCUUUUGAAAGAUGGUUUCGGCUAUCGCUUACAGAUGGGCCCGCGGUGCAUUAGCUAGUUGGUAGGGUAAUGGCCUACCAAGGCAACGAUGCAUAGCCGACCUGAGAGGGUGAUCGGCCACACUGGGACUGAGACACGGCCCAGACUCCUACGGGAGGCAGCAGUAGGGAAUCUUCCGCAAUGGACGAAAGUCUGACGGAGCAACGCCGCGUGUAUGAAGAAGGUUUUCGGAUCGUAAAGUACUGUUGUUAGAGAAGAACAAGGAUAAGAGUAACUGCUUGUCCCUUGACGGUAUCUAACCAGAAAGCCACGGCUAACUACGUGCCAGCAGCCGCGGUAAUACGUAGGUGGCAAGCGUUGUCCGGAUUUAUUGGGCGUAAAGCGCGCGCAGGCGGUCUUUUAAGUCUGAUGUGAAAGCCCCCGGCUUAACCGGGGAGGGUCAUUGGAAACUGGAAGACUGGAGUGCAGAAGAGGAGAGUGGAAUUCCACGUGUAGCGGUGAAAUGCGUAGAUAUGUGGAGGAACACCAGUGGCGAAGGCGACUCUCUGG
rnacentral:rRNA from 1 species